rnacentral:rRNA from 1 species
GACGAACGCUGGCGGCGUGCUUAACACAUGCAAGUCGAACGGUGACCCACCUUCGGGUGGCGAUCAGUGGCGAACGGGUGAGUAACACGUGGGCAACCUGCCCCUAGCUCUGGGAUAACCUCGGGAACCGAGGCUAAUACCGGAUAUCACUCCGAGCGGCAUCACUCGGAGUUGAAAGGAUUCUGGCUAGGGAUGGGCCCGCGGCCUAUCAGCUUGUUGGUGGGGUAAUGGCCUACCAAGGCGACGACGGGUAGCCGGCCUGAGAGGGCGACCGGCCACACUGGGACUGAGACACGG